AACCCAUGGUGAGGGCACUUUCUAAUUAAGUCCUUGAAUCUCUUCUAGGCUUCAUAGAGAGACUCACUGUCUUGUUGGAUGAAGUUGUUAAUUUCAGAUCUCAGUUU